GCUCCAUUCGUCUAGUGGUUAGGACACUGAUCUUAUAAGUCGGUAACGCAGGUUCGAUUCCUGCAUGGAGCAC
rnacentral:tRNA from 1 species